UGCCAGCCGCCGCGGUAAGACGAACCGCCCAAACGUUAUUCGGAAUCACUGGGCUUAAAGGGUGCGUAGGCGGCGCGACAAGUUGGGUGUGAAAUCCCUCGGCUCAACCGAGGAACUGCGCCCAAAACUGUCGUGCUCGAGGGAGAUAGAGGUAAGCGGAACUGAUGGUGGAGCGGUGAAAUGCGUUGAUAUUAUCAGGAACACCGGUGGCGAAAGCGGCUUACUGGAUCUCUUCUGACACUGAGGCACGAAAGCUAGGGGAGCGAACGGGAUUAGAUA
rnacentral:rRNA from 1 species